CGCGUCAAUAGUGCAACGGUUUGAAGCGCACACUCCCGGAUAGAGUGAGAUGUGGGUUCGAGUCUCAGCUGACGCGG